GGGAUGACAAUGUCACGAGAAACUGUGACGUUUGAAAGAUUUUGAAAUUUUUUUCACGACGGCAUAAGUGACUACGUCGGCAUUACAUACAGAAAAAAUGACGCACUCACUUAUGGUGUUGCAACUGGGGGUUCUCAUGACAUUUUCAGACUGCAUCGAGAGAACCCCUAUUAUUAAAGUUCUGUGUUCAUAGAACACAUAACACAAAAUGAGAGAAAAGAAAAAAGAGAAAGGUGAAACGAAAGAGAAGUUUCGUCGUCCGUUUUCCGUGAGUUGUCCAUCGUCGCGAUAUAUUUAAAUUAAUUAGGUUGCUCAAAAUCUAUCUUUAGGUUGCUCAAAAUCUCUACUAUCUCAAAGUAAUAAAUUAAUUUAGAUACUUAUCUAUUUGUUAAAUUUAAUAAGAUUUUUUUUUCUUUUUAAUGGUCUUUUUCAAAGUUAUUUUAGUGUGAAAUAAAUGAUAUAAUUUUUAAGUAGAUAUGUAAAAGAAAAGUAAUAUUUACUAAGAUAUCAUAAAAAUAUAAACAUGCAUCAUAUAAAAUGUCCAGUAUAUAAGAAGACAUUGUACCAAUUCAAAUAAAUUGUAUAGUAUAUUUUUUUUCAUGUUUGGCAAAUUUAUUGAUAUUUGGGAAAUUUUCUUACUUGUCUAUGUUUUAAAUAGAAAAUUGUUUAGAACGUUCAUAAUUACCUAAACUUCAUUUACAUUCGUCUUUCGUUACUGCCAUUACUAUUAUUUAUAUAUUUUUGAAGGAAUGAAUGAUAAAGAAGAAUAGAAAAGUAAAUUGAAUAAGAUCUUGUGUAAAAUAAUAAAUCACUCAAUAACUCAUCUAAAAAAUAUAGAAAAAUAUUAACAAUUGUGUAAUUAGACGUAUUUAUUUAAUUUAGAAUACCAAUAACGACAUGAACAUGGUGUAAACGAGUUGGGUUGGGUUGGAUUGAGUGACAUUCUCAACCCAACCCAUGUCAACCCAAAUAACUCAAAUUAAUUUUUCAAUCCAAUUCGUAAAAUAUGGGUUGAGUUGGAUUAUUGAGUUGUAUUAUUUUUUUGAGAAAACCGUGAAAAUGGCAAAAUAAUAGAUAAGAAUUUAAAAAAUAUCAAAUCCAAAAAAUAUUUUGAUUUACAGCAAAACGGUCUGAUGUAGACAUUUUUUUUUAUUUUUUACCUCUGUAUAGAGAUAAAUUCUUCUUAGAUAGAUACACUGUAUUCAUGUAGGUUAAAAUGAUGAAAUAUAACCCGUAACCCAGAAUCACGGAUAGAGUGUAUUUGCAAAUCAGUUUUGUAAAAAUAUUAAAUAAAUAUUUAUUUUUGGGAUGGAUAUGAUUAAAUCAACAUUCAAGAUUUAUGCUUGCAAUUUAUUCCAGAUUUUCUAAUUUGUAGGUUUCAAAUCAAAUAAUUAACAAUUUAUUUAGUUGUGGUUGUUAAAAUUAAAAUUGUAUCUUAUCCCUAUAAUUCUAAGAAAAUUUUGAUCUUCACCGUGCUACUUGAUUGAUUUACCUAAACUUUUCAUAUUUCUAAUAACAAUUUAUUUAGCAUAAUAAUAAAUUGAAAUUAAAAUUGUAUCUUACUCCUAUAAUUAUGAUGCAUUUAACGUAUAUAUUACUCUUAGAAAAUUUUAAUCUUCCCCUAUAAUCGUGCUACUUGAUUGAUUUUCCGUAGAAUAAGGUUAAACAUAAUUUCAAAAUUUUAUAUUAUCUCGUUAAUAGCCUUUAUCUAUUUUUCAUAAUUGUUAUUUAAAAAUAUAUUUUAAAUUUUGAUUUGAAACAACAAGAAAACUAAAAUUUUCUUUUAAAAUUUAUAAAUAUAGCUAGGUAUUGUUAAUCAUAUUUUGAAUUAAAAAUUUUAUCAUCCCUAAAAUCGUGUUAAGAUUAUCCACUUAUAUUAUUAAAAACAUUAUCAUCCCAUAACUCGUGCUAUUUGAUUUAUAUCUCUAAAAUAUAUGGCAAACAUAAAUUCAACAUUUUUGUAUUAUUUAUAUUCCAAAAUAUUUAUAAAAAUUGAAUAUUUUAUUUUUGAAAGGAAUUAAUUGAGAAGAGAUGAUUUGUUUUAUUUAAAUUGGAAAAGAAAGAUAUUUAAGGGAAAAGAAUAAUAAUAAUAAUAUUUAUAUACCUAUGUGUUCUCCAUCCAUCUCAUUAUUCAUCAUCUCCUUCACUCUCACCAAACCCUAGCCGGUGACGACACUUCCAUCUUCAUUCGAGUGUUCUUCGUAUCAUCGAGAUCUCCACCUUCGUAGCCAUCCCCUCUGUUUUGUUGACGGAGAAUUGAGCCGCAAUGAAACGUCUCCUCCGUUGCAUGCUACUAGACGUGUUUUUACUUCAUCGGAAGCUGAACGCCUUUGUGCUGCUUGUUCCUUCGUGCGUCGCACGCCCAGCCGCGUCGAUCUCCUUCAUCACCAUUUGUUUGUCGGUUUUGCCGAAACUUUGCUAGACGCUAUCAAUUGUCGGGUUUUAUUGACUUUUUGGUUGUUGGAAUUUUGUUCUAGUUUUCCUUAAUUAUCCCUUGUAGUUAAAAUAAUAUUAAUUAUUUUUAGAUCUUUUGGAAGAGACCAAAGAAGAUAGAAGACGGAAAGGGAGAAUACAAGGUAUGUGGUUGAUGUUUGCUAUCGAAUACAUUGUAUUUGGGUGUAAUUACACUAUUUGUCAAACUUCCAACCGCCGUCAAUUGUCGUAUUCUAGUGAGUUUGAGGUUUGAUCUCGAAUACAAUGUAUUUGGAUGUAAGUACACUGUAUCUGGCCUAAAAUCAGGGGAUAUAUUGUUGCUGUAAUUUAAAAGAAUAAUUAAAUAAUAAAAAAUAAUUAUAUUCACAACCUUAAUGUGCG
rnacentral:lncRNA from 1 species